rnacentral:rRNA from 1 species
UCCUACGGGACGCAGCAGUGAGGAAUAUUGGUCAAUGGCCGAGAGGCUGAACCAGCCAAGUCGCGUGAGGGAAGACGGCCCUACGGGUUGUAAACCUCUUUUGUCGGGGAGCAAAGCGAACCACGUGUGGUUCAUUGAGAGUACCCGAAGAAAAAGCAUCGGCUAACUCCGUGCCAGCAGCCGCGGUAAUACGGAGGAUGCGAGCGUUAUCCGGAUUUAUUGGGUUUAAAGGGUGCGCAGGCGGAGGUGCAAGCCAGCGGUCAAAUUGCGGGGCCCAACCCCGGACUGCCGUUGAAACUGCAUCC